rnacentral:rRNA from 1 species
AACGAACGCUGGCGGCAUGCCUAACACAUGCAAGUCGAACGAAGCCUUCGGGCUUAGUGGCGCACGGGUGCGUAACACGUGGGAAUCUGCCCUUAGGUACGGAAUAACUCAGGGAAACUUGAGCUAAUACCGUAUGAUGUCUUCGGACCAAAGAUUUAUCGCCAAAGGAUGAGCCCGCGUCGGAUUAGCUAGUUGGUGGGGUAAAGGCCUACCAAGGCGACGAUCCGUAGCUGGUCUGAGAGGAUGAUCAUCCACACUGGGACUGAGACACGGCCCAGACUCCUACGGGAGGCAGCAGUGGGGAAUAUUGGACAAUGGGCGAAAGCCUGAUCCAGCAAUGCCGCGUGAGUGAAGAAGGCCUUCGGGUUGUAAAGCUCUUUUACCCGGGAAGAUAAUGACUGUACCGGGAGAAUAAGCCCCGGCUAACUCCGUGCCAGCAGCCGCCGUAA